rnacentral:rRNA from 1 species
CCUACGGGAGGCAGCAGUGGGGAAUAUUGGACAAUGGGCGAAAGCCUGAUCCAGCCAUGCCGCGUGUGUGAAGAAGGCCUUCGGGUUGUAAAGCACUUUCAGUGGGGAAGAAAGCCUUGGGGCUAAUACCCUCGAGGAAGGACAUCACCCACAGAAGAAGCACCGGCUAACUCCGUGCCAGCAGCCGCGGUAAUACGGAGGGUGCGAGCGUUAAUCGGAAUUACUGGGCGUAAAGCGCGCGUAGGCGGUCUGAUAAGCCGGUUGUGAAAGCCCCGGGCUCAACCUGGGAACGGCAUCCGGAACUGUCAGGCUAGAGGGCAGGAGAGGAAGGUAGAAUUCCCGGUGUAGCAGUGAAAUGCGUAGAGAUCGGGAGGAAUACCAGUGGCGAAGGCGGCCUUCUGGACUGACACUGACGCUGAGGUGCGAAAGCGUGGGUAGCAAACAGGAUUAGAUACCCCAGUAGUC